UAUCAAUAAGCGGAGCACAAGGGUCCCUGCAUAUCACUAAGCUGGAACAUGAGGGUCCGCUGCAUUGCGACUUUGGCUCUCGUCUAUGUUCCUUGAAACAGGUACGUCCCAGAGGGUGAGAAUCCCGUGCGAUGAGAUGCCCAAUUCCAUGUAAAGUUCCUUCGACGAGUCGAGUUGUUUGGGAAUGCAGCUCUAAGUGGGUGGUAAAUUCCAUCUAAAGCUAAAUAUUGGCGAGAGACCGAUAGCGAACAAGUACUGUGAAGGAAAGAUGAAAAGAACUUUGGAAAAGAGAGUGAAAAAGUACGUGAAAUUGUUGAAAGGGAAGGGCUUGAGGUCAGACUUGGUUUUACCAGGCCAGCAUCAGUUUGGGUGGCAGGAUAAGUGCGUAGGAAAGUGGCUCCACCUCGGUGGAGUGUUAUAGCCUGCGUCGAUACUGCCUGCCUAGACUGAGGACUGCGGUCUUUGACUAGGAUGCUGGCAUAAUGACCUUAAGCC
rnacentral:rRNA from 1 species